AGCAGCCAUCAUUUAAAGAGUGCGUAAUAGCUCACUAGUCGAGUGGCCCUGCGCCGAAAAUUUACCGGGGCUAAACAAGGUACCGAAGCCACGGAUAGAACCUUUGGUUCUAUGGUAGGAGAGCGUUCUAAUCAGCAUAGAAGCCUGACUGUGAAGACAGGUGGAGCGAUUAGAAGUGAGAAUGCCGGUAUGAGUAGCGAAAGACAGGUGAGAAUCCUGUCCACCGAAUGACUAAGGUUUCCUGGGGAAGGCUCGUCCUCCCAGGGUUAGUCGGGAC
rnacentral:rRNA from 1 species